UACGUGGGGUGCGAGCGUUGUUCGGAAUUACUGGGCGUAAAGCGCGUGUAGGCGGCUCACUAAGUUCGAUGUGAAAGCCCUGGGCUUAACCCAGGAACUGCAUUGAAAACUGGUGGGCUUGAGUCCGGGAGAGGGUCGCGGAAUUCCUGGUGUAGAGGUGAAAUUCGUAGAUAUCAGGAGGAACACCGGUGGCGAAGGCGGCGACCUGGACCGGUACUGACGCUGAGACGCGAAAGCGUGGGGAGCAAACAGG
rnacentral:rRNA from 1 species